UCCUUUUUGGGUCCACAGAUCUCCUCAUCAUGUUCUGGCCUCCCAUUCUCUCCCUUCUAGUGCUGUGGUGCACAGGUUUAGAUUCUCAGCCUGUGCUGACUCAGCCGUCCUCAGCAUCAGUGUCACCAGGGAACACAGCGAAACUCUCCUGUGCCAUUGACAGUGGGUUCAGCAUCAGCAGCUAUCAUCUGUACUGGUACCAGCAAAAACCUGGGAAUCCUCCAAGAUAUCUCUUACGCUACUAUUCAGAUUCCAACAAGCACCAAGGCUCCGGAGUCCCCUCUCGUUUCUCUGGAUCCAAAGACACAUCUGCAAACACAGGCUAUUUAACCAUUACGGGAUCCUUGGCAGAAGAUGAGGCUGAUUAUUACUGUGGUACAUAUCACGGCAGUGGUAGCAGCUUUCAGUACACACAACGAUUCAGUCAAAUUAGGGGCCAAGACAAAAACUGUGUUUGGUUCAGAGAAGUUUGCAAAGAGUAG